AUCCCUAUAAGCUGCUUGAUUACUUCAACUGGAGCGCGUUAUUUUCGUUCACGGCUCCAUGGUCACCCAUUCAAUAAUACUAGCGCACCGUUGACUCCUGGUCCGUCGAACCGUCUGCGACAAUGAGACAGGUAUUUUUUCAAAUUUUCCGACGCGCAUCCCUGAUGUUAAGACCUCCCGAUUCGACAAGAUAUCAACAUCUUACACAUGCUUGCAAAUAGACACAUCACAGGAACACAGCAGCAACAGAUACGUAAAAAGGCCAAACCGCAGGUUUACAAACCCGAUCGGUGAAACCAUAGCCGGCAAAUAGUCGUCGGUAAAGCUCUCGUCGAAAAGCCCAUGGUCGGAAGAGGUAAAAAGGAACUGGGGCACCAGGAUUGACCGGUGACAAAUUGGCGUAACUCACGUCCUUGUACCGGGCCCGCGCUCCAUUCAAACUUUCUUCUUUCGGACGCCCGCUUAUAAAAAAAAAGGCGGCAUCAAGUAGACAAGACAGACGGCAAAGGGGCUUAUCCCAAUACCAUUUAAAGGAGAAAACCUCCUUGAUGGCAGAAUACUUCUGGAAGGAAGAAAUCGGGGUAUUUCAAUUGUGCGCAGAAAUGUUUAAAAUAGUACGCACUAAAUAUGUCGACUUUGUUCACUCAUCGCAUAGCCUUAGGUCAGGCAGCAUGCAUCGGCCAUUGCUGACAAGGACGGUCCAUCUUUCUUGUAACGGUGAAAUGCCAGCCUAAUAUUUAAUAGCAAUGUUCUUGUGUUGCGCCUUUUCUGCAAUCCACUUUGUAACUUUGAUUGAAACAAUUAACUAUAUUAUCAUUAUAUAAUAUUAUUAUACGCGCCCAAUCCAAGAAAGAUAGCUUAGUUUGUGCAGUCUUUAUUCCCCUCCCAAAAAUGUACAUCACUUGGAAAAAAAAUCAAAAUUCCUUAAAAUAU